rnacentral:rRNA from 1 species
CCUACGGGGGGCAGCAGUGAGGAAUAUUGGUCAAUGGGCUCGAGCCUGAACCAGCCAAGUAGCGUGAAGGAUGACUAUCCUACGGGUUGUAAACUUCUUUUAUAAAGGAAUAAAGUGAGGCACGUGUGCCUUUUUGUAUGUACUUUAUGAAUAAGGAUCGGCUAACUCCGUCCAGCAGCCGCGGUGAUACGGGGGGUCCGAGCGUUAUCCGGAUUUAUUGGGUUUAAAGGGGGCGUAGAUGGGUUGUUAAGUUCGUUGGGAAAGUUUGCGGCUCAACCGUAAAAUUGCAAUUGAUACUGGCAGUCUUGAGUACAGUUGAGGUAGGCGGAAUUCGUGGUGUAGCGGUGAAAUGCUUAGAUAUCACGAAGAACUCCGAUUGCGAAGGCAGCUUACUAAACUGCCACUGACAUUGAUGCUCGAAAGUGUGGGUAUCAAACAGGAUUAGAUACCCGUGUAGUC